rnacentral:tRNA from 1 species
GGGCACGUGCCCGAAAGACAGGGAUCACGUUGAUACAGUGAAAAAUAAGAGUUCAAACCUCUUCGCAGCCU